UACUGCAGUAGCACUACAUAAAUUGUUACUACAUGGCCUGAUUCUUCAAGGCUCACUCAUGGAGACAAUAAGUACUUACUUCUCCUAUGUUGGUCUCUACUUUACAAGGUGUGUGACUGUCAUCUGAGUAGCAGUUGAAUCAGCAUUUCUUGAAACAGAAAUACGGUGAAUUUACAAGACAAUACAUCAGAGUUGGAUGAAUUAUAUUGAAAUCACUUCACAAUGCACAUAGGAAUCAAAAUAUUGUCCAUCUCCAGCGUUCCAUUGAUUUUUGUCAUGAAAUGGUUUUGGGGUGAUUUUACUGUCACUGUGCAUGUUGCUCCUGCAGUUGUCUUGGUUGGACAAGCUGUGACAUUGUCCUGCCAUCUCAUAGGCCAGGUCCCCGCUAACAUUCAAGUGUAUUGGUACAAAUUGGAAAGGAACAAAAAUACGACGUUAUAUUUUUACAAUAGCACAGAAAAAGGGACUGAGCUGGGCCGGGCUGAGGACCGGCACAGGAUCAAAGGACGAUAUGCGAAUGGAGUCAUUAGGGUGAAGCUCUUUCCAGUGCAAGUAGAAGAUAGUGGUCAGUACGUGUGUGCGGUGACAAGCGAUG